rnacentral:rRNA from 1 species
AGGAAGGCUCGUCCGCUCUGGGUUAGUCGGGUCCUAAGCUGAGGCCGACAGGCGUAGGCGAUGGAUAACAGGUUGAUAUUCCUGUACCACCUAUAAUCGUUUUAAUCGAUGGGGGGACGCAGUAGGAUAGGCGAAGCGUGCGAUUGGAUUGCACGUCUAAGCAGUAAGGCUGAGUAUUAGGCAAAUCCGGUACUCGUUAAGGCUGAGCUGUGAUGGGGAGAAGACAUUGUGUCUUCGAGUCGUUGAUUUCACACUGCCGAGAAAAGCCUCUAGAUAGAAAAUAGGUGCCCGUACCGCAAACCGACACAGGUAGUCAAGAUGAGAAUUCUAAGGUGAGCGAGCGAACUCUCGUUAAGGAACUCGGCAAAAUGACCCCGUAACUUCGGGAGAAGGGGUGCUCUUUAGGGUUAACGCCCAGAAGAGCCGCAGUGAAUAGGCCCAAGCGACUGUUUAUCAAAAACACAGGUCUCUGCUAAACCGUAAGGUGAUGUAUAG